rnacentral:snoRNA from 1 species
CGAUGUUGGUAAGGGAAAUUUCUGAGCAUACCUUUAAAUCUUUCCCAAGCUUGAUGAGAUUCUCUCCAUCCUUCUGUCUAAAACUCAAGAUUUUAAUCCUCAAGCG